GGCACUCACUCUAGACUGGGCAACAAAGUGAGACUCUGCCUCAAUAAAUAAAUAAAUACCUGAAGGAUGAAUAGUUAACCCGGUGGAGAAGUAAGGUGGGAGCUGGGCAAAAGGGCGUAUUAGGGAGAGGGAAGAGAGGGAACAGUCUGAGAAUGCCCUGAAGCAAUCAUUCAUGCAAGCCCAAGUGAAAGCAGCAAGGACAAAGAGGAGAGACACAAUCCCCUAAGAGCCAAUAUUUUCUGUCUGAUAAAAUGUGAGCAGCAAGGAGCUUCCUUCGGCUCAGCCUGAAGCCAGUUGCUGCAACCUUGGGACUUCACACCACACUGGCAAGUGUUAACUUCCCUGACAUAAAAACCACACCCACCAAUCCUCCCGCAGGGCCCCCAAACACAGAAGAGAGAGGGAAGCAGAGGGGGCUGCCUCAGGGUCAGAAGUGAAUAGUUUUCCAGGCAGUGAAGGACGAACAAGAAGGCAGGAGCUAACUCCGUCCGGCAUGAUGGAUUCCCGGGCUCCCAGAACGGCUGGGCUGGAAGGGACCUUGAAAAAGCAACUACCAACACAUGCCCCAUGCCAGGACUGGGCACUUUCGUGAUGAGCACAUUUUCUUGUUUAACACUCCUAACUAUUUCGAGAGCCUUUCCUUGAAAUGGGAAGUCCUCGCUGCACGAGGUGGACACUCUAUGUUGCUGGAUCACCCGGACGUCUUUCUCCUUCACCUGGACUGA